GUGCUCAUUUUGGCAGUACAUAUACUAAAAUUGGAAUGAUCAGAGAUUACCAUGGCCCCUGCGCAAGGAUGACAUGCAAAUCGUGAAGCAUUACAUAUAAAA